AGAUUCUGAAAUGGGUAUCUCCCCUUCCCAAUGCUAAUCAAACCAUCAUAGACACUGAUCCAAUAGCUCUGAAACGCCGAGGAACUGCAAAGAGCAACACCCUCUACAUCUACAACAGUUCUCCCAUCGGCUAUAAUCCUUAGACGUCGAUUUCGGUGACUACCUAUUAUGACCGUAUAAUGAGGACUGAUAUCUCGUUUGUAAUGGUAAUGUUGACUCCCCACAUUCUCUCGGAACACCAACGUGAUAUCAUUAUGAGCAGAAGCUUCAAAAGCCACACAACCCCGUCCUGCUUCCCGAAAUCUUAAGUCCUUGAGCCAAGCACACUCAAAAGGAGCCACCGUGAGGGAAUUUUUCUCCUUCUUA
rnacentral:misc_RNA from 1 species